rnacentral:rRNA from 1 species
UGGGGAAUUUUGGACAAUGGGCGAAAGCCUGAUCCAGCAAUGCCGCGUGUGUGAAGAAGGCCUUCGGGUUGUAAAGCACUUUUGUCCGGAAAGAAAUCCUUGGCUCUAAUACAGUCGGGGGAUGACGGUACCGGAAGAAUAAGCACCGGCUAACUACGUGCCAGCAGCCGCGGUAAUACGUAGGGUGCAAGCGUUAAUCGGAAUUACUGGGCGUAAAGCGUGCGCAGGCGGUUUGCUAAGACCGAUGUGAAAUCCCCGGGCUCAACCUGGGAACUGCAUUGGUGACUGGCAGGCUAGAGUAUGGCAGAGGGGGGUAGAAUUCCACGUGUAGCAGUGAAAUGCGUAGAGAUGUGGAGGAAUACCGAUGGCGAAGGCAGCCCCCUGGGCCAAUACUGACGCUCAUGCACGAAAGCGUGGGGAGCAAACAGGAUUAGAUACCCUGGUAGUCCACGCCCUAAACGAUGUCAACUAGUUGUUGGGAUCAUUCCUUAGUAACGUAGCUAACGCGUGAAGUUGACCGCCUGGGGAGUACGGUCGCAAGAUUAAAACUUAAAGGAAUUGACGGGGUCAUAGCUGUUUCCU